GACGAACGCUGGCGGCGUGCUUAACACAUGCCAGUCGAACGGUGAAGCGCCUUCCUUUUUGGUGGGUGUGGAUGAGUGGCGAACGGGUGAGUAACACGUGAGUAACCUGCCCCCUUCUUCUGGAUAACCGCAUGAAAGUGUGGCUAAUACGGGAUAUUCUGGGUCUGUCGCAUGAUGGGUCUGGGAAAGAUAUUGUUUCGGUGGGGGAUGGGCUCGCGGCCUAUCAGCUUGUUGGUGGGGUGAUGGCCUACCAAGGCGGUGACGGGUAGCCGGCCUGAGAGGGUGGACGGUCACACUGGGACUGAGACACGGCCCAGACUCCUACGGGAGGCAGCAGUGGGGAAUAUUGCACAAUGGGCGGAAGCCUGAUGCAGCGACGCCGCGUGAGGGAUGGAGGCCUGCGGGUUGUGAACCUCUUUCGCCAGUGAAGCAGGCCUGCCUCGUUUGUGGGUGGGUUGACGGUAGCUGGAUAAGAAGCGCCGGCUAACUACGUG
rnacentral:rRNA from 1 species